UACGUAGGGGCAAGCGUUGGUCCGGAAUCAUUGGGCGUAAAGAGCGUGUAGGCGGCCAGAUAAGUCCGCUGUGAAAUCUCGAGGCUCAACUUCGAGCUGUCGGUGGAAACUGUCUGGCUAGAGUCCGGAAGAGGAGAAUGGAAUUCUGGUGUAGCGGUGAAAUGCGCAGAUAUCAGGAAGAACACCCGUGGCGAAGGCGGUUCUCUGGGACGGUACUGACGCUGAGACGCGAAAGCGUGGGGAGCAAACAGG
rnacentral:rRNA from 1 species